GAUGAACGCUGGCGGCGUGCCUAAUACAUGCAAGUCGAGCGAACAGACGAGGAGCUUGCUCCUCUGACGUUAGCGGCGGACGGGCGAGUAACACGUGGAUAACCUACCUAUAAGACUGGGAUAACUUCGGGAAACCGGAGCUAAUACCGGAUAAUAUAUUGAACCGCAUGGUUCAAUAGUGAAAGACGGUUUUGCUGUCACUUAUAGAUGGAUCCGCGCCGCAUUAGCUAGUUGGUAAGGUAACGGCUUACCAAGGCGACGAUGCGUAGCCGACCUGAGAGGGUGAUCGGCCACACUGAAACUGAGACACGGUCCAGACUCCUACGGGAGGCAGCAGUAGGGAAUCUUCCGCAAUGGGCGAAAGCCUGACGGAGCAACGCCGCGUGAGUGAUGAAGGUCUUCGGAUCGUAAAACUCUGUUAUUAGGGAAGAACAAAUGUGUAAGUAACUAUGCACGUCUUGACGGUACCUAAUCAGAAAGCCACGGCUAACUACGUG
rnacentral:rRNA from 1 species